rnacentral:rRNA from 1 species
AAACAUCUAAGUACCCCGAGGAAAAGAAAUCAACCGAGAUUCCCUCAGUAGCGGCGAGCGAACGGGGAUUAGCCCUUAAGCAUCUUGGAAGUUAGUGGAACGGUCCUGGAAAGGCCGGCGAUACAGGGUGAUAGCCCCGUACACGAAAACAACCUUGAUGUGAAAUCGAGUAGGGCGGGACACGUGACAUCCUGUCUGAAUAUGGGGGGACCAUCCUCCAAGGCUAAAUACUCCUGACUGACCGAUAGUGAACCAGUACCGUGAGGGAAAGGCGAAAAGAACCCCUGUGAGGGGAGUGAAAUAGAACCUGAAACCGUGUACGUACAAGCAGUGGGAGCCCUUCGGGGUGACUGCGUACCUUUUGUAUAAUGGGUCAGCGACUUACAUUUUGUAGCGAGGUUAACCGUAUAGGGGAGCCGUAGGGAAACCGAGUCUUAACUGGGCGUCUAGUUGCAAGGUGUAGACCCGAAACCGGGUGAUCUAGCCAUGGGCAGGUUGAAGGUUGAGUAACAUCAACUGGAGGACCGAACCCACUAACGUUGCAAAGUUAGGGGAUGACCUGUGGCUGGGGGUGAAAGGCCAAUCAAACUCGGAGAUAGCUGGUUCUCCCCGAAAGCUAUUUAGGUAGCGCCUCGGACGAAUACUACUGGGGGUAGAGCACUGUUUGGGCUAGGGGGUCAUCCCGACUUACCAACCCCAUGCAAACUCCGAAUACCAGUAAGUAAUAUCCGGGAGACACACGGCGGGUGCUAACGUCCGUCGUGAAGAGGGAAACAACCCAGACCGCCGGCUAAGGUCCCAAAGUUCUGGUUAAGUGGGAAACGAUGUGGGAAGGCUCAGACAGCUAGGAUGUUGGCUUAGAAGCAGCCAUCAUUUAAAGAAAGCGUAAUAGCUCACUAGUCGAGUCGGCCUGCGCGGAAGAUGUAACGGGGCUCAAACCAG